GGGGUAUAGCCUAACGGUAGGGCAACAGACUUUGACUCUGUUUGUGGCGGUUCGAUUCCGCCUAC
rnacentral:tRNA from 1 species